CACGUAGGGUGCGAGCGUUGUCCGGAAUUAUUGGGCGUAAAGAGCUCGUAGGCGGUGUGUCGCGUCGGCCGUGAAAACCUGCAGCUUAACUGUGGGCUUGCGGUCGAUACGGGCAUCACUGGAGUUCGGCAGGGGAGACUGGAAUUCCUGGUGUAGCGGUGAGAUGCGCAGAUAUCAGGAGGAACACCAGCGGCGAAGGCGG
rnacentral:rRNA from 1 species